CACGUAGUUAGCCGGUGCUUAUUCUUACGGUACCGUCAUCAGUCCUCUUUAUUAAAAAAGAACCUUUUCGUUCCGUACAAAAGCAGUUUACAACCCGAAGACCUUCUUCCUGCACGCGGCAUUGCUGGAUCAGGCUUUCGCCCAUUGUCCAAAAUUCCCCACUGCUGCCUCCCGUAGGAGUCUGGGCCGUGUCUCAGUCCCAGUGUGGCUGGUCGUCCUCUCAGACCAGCUACAGAUCGUCGACUUGGUAAGCCUUUACCCCACCAACUAUCUAAUCUGACAUCGGCGCUCCAAUCGCGCGAGGCCCGAAGGUCCCCCCGCUUUCACCCUUAGGUCGUAUGCGGUAUUAGCUGCCUCUUUCGAGCAGUUACUCCCCCACGACUGGGCCACGUUCCGAUGCUUUACUCCACCCGUUCGCCACUCGUCAGCACUCCGAACGACCUGUUACCGUUCGACUUGCAUGUGUAAGGCUAGUGUCCGCCAGCGUUCAACGUCUAGAGCCGAGGACUACAAACGUCU
rnacentral:rRNA from 1 species